CUGCGGAGGGAUCAUUACAAGUGACCCCGGUCUUACCACCGGGAUGUUCAUAACCCUUUGUUGUCCGACUCUGUUGCCUCCGGGGCGACCCUGCCUUCGGGCGGGGGCUCCGGGUGGACACUUCAAACUCUUGCGUAACUUUGCAGUCUGAGUAAACUUAAUUAAUAAAUUAAAACUUUUAACAACGGAUCUCUUGGUUCUGGCAUCGAUGAAGAACGCAGCGAAAUGCGAUAAGUAAUGUGAAUUGCAGAAUUCAGUGAAUCAUCGAAUCUUUGAACGCACAUUGCGCCCCCUGGUAUUCCGGGGGGCAUGCCUGUUCGAGCGUCAUUUCACCACUCAAGCCUCGCUUGGUAUUGGGCAACGCGGUCCGCCGCGUGCCUCAAAUCGACCGGCUGGGUCUUCUGUCCCCUAAGCGUUGUGGAAACUAUUCGCUAAAGGGUGUUCGGGAGGCUACGCCGUAAAACAACCCCAUUUCUAAGGUUGACCUCGGAUCAGGUAGG
rnacentral:rRNA from 1 species